rnacentral:rRNA from 1 species
GAUGAACGCUGGCGGCGUGCUUAACACAUGCAAGUCGAACGAAACACCUUGUUUGAUUUUCUUCGGAACUGAGGAUUUGGUGAUUGAGUGGCGGACGGGUGAGUAACGCGUGGGUAACCUGCCCUGUACAGGGGGAUAACAGUCAGAAAUGACUGCUAAUACCGCAUAAGACCACAGCACCGCAUGGUGCAGGGGGAAAAACUCCGGUGGUACAGGAUGGACCCGCGUCUGAUUAGCUGGUUGGUGAGGUAACGGCUCACCAAGGCGACGAUCAGUAGCCGGCUUGAGAGAGUGAACGGCCACAGUUGGACUGAGACACGGCCCAAACUCCUACGGGAGGCAGCAGUGGGGAAUAUUGCAGAAUGGGGGAAACCCUGAUGCAGCGACGCCGCGUGAGUGAAGAAGUAUUUCGGGAUGUAAAGCUCUAUGAGCAGGGAAGAAAAUGACGGUACCUGACUAAGAAGCCCCGGCUAACUACGUG